GACGAACGCUGGCGGCGUGCCUAAUACAUGCAAGUGGAGCGACGAACCAGGGCUUGCCCUGGGGCAAAGCCGCGAACGGGUGAGUAACACGUGGGUAACCUGCCCUGAUGAUUGGGACAACCCGAGGAAACUCGGGCUAAUACCAAAUGUGCUCCUCGACCUUAAGGUCGUUGAGGAAAGGUAGCUUCGGCUAACCGCAUCAGGAUGGGCCCGCGGCCCAUUAGCUUGUUGGUGAGGUAACGGCUCACCAAGGCUCCGAUGGGUAGCUGGUCUGAGAGGACGAUCAGCCACACUGGGACUGAGACACGGCCCAGACUCCUACGGGAGGCAGCAGUAGGGAAUCUUGCGCAAUGCGCGAAAGCGUGACGCAGCAACGCCGCGUGGAGGAAGACGGUCUUCGGAUUGUAAACUCCUUUCAGUUGGGACGAGGCUUCGGCGUUGAAUAGACGUUCGGAGUGACGGUACCUUCAGAAGAAGCCCCGGCUAACUACGUGCCAGCCGCCGCAGUAAAAC
rnacentral:rRNA from 1 species